UACAGAGGGUGCAAGCGUUAAUCGGAAUUACUGGGCGUAAAGCGUGCGCAGGCGGUCAUUUAAGUCGGAUGUGAAAGCCCCGGGCUCAACCUGGGAACUGCACUCGAUACUGGAUGACUAGAGUAUGGUAGAGGGAAGUGGAAUUUCCGGUGUAGCGGUGAAAUGCGUAGAUAUCGGAAGGAACAUCAGUGGCGAAGGCGGCUCUCUGGGCCAAUACUGACGCUGAGGUACGAAAGCGUGGGUAGCAAACAGG
rnacentral:rRNA from 1 species